AGAAGAAGCAGCCGAGAUGGCGAGCCAGAAGCAAUCCGAUGAAAAGUUGGCAUUUACAAGGUGGAAAUAUAAGCACUAUUUCCAAUUCAUCGAGGAAAAAGGCAAGAACGUGCAUGUAAAGUGUACACUAUGUCCGGGAGGGAAGACUUUGUCGACAUCCGUUGUUAGCAACUCAAAUUUAACGAAGCAUCUAGCAACAAAACACGCAUCGACAAAGCUAGUGUCCAAAAACACAGAUACCGCCACAGAUAGCUCGCCAUCCACAAGCCAGGAAGGAUACGGAGCAAAGUCAAAGCAGCCAAAGCUUGAUUUUUCUGCCCCACAGCAAACAGCUAUGACACAGGCUGAAGUCAACCGUAUGAUAGGCAGGUACGUGGUCAAAAAUAUGUUGCCGUUAUUGACGGUGGAGGAUGAUUCAUUCCGAGCCAUUAUAGCUAAAAUACCAAAGAAAGGAGGGGCCUGUACACCAUGCACAAAGACGUUUGCUAAAUACUUAGAUGCUGAUUACGUCAAAAUGAACACAGAACUUAAAAAGAGUUUUGAAGAGUUGGACUUUUUGUCUACAACUGCAGAUAUUUGGACUGCGCACAACCGCCUCGGCGUGACCGCACACUGGAUAGAUCCACGCAGCCUAGAGCGAAAGAAAGCAGCCUUGGCCUGCAGACGGUUCAAGGGCCGUCAUACGUAUGACCGCAUUGCUACUGAACUAGACAAUAUACACUCAUCCUUUGGUAUUCCUAAGAAAAUCACAGCUACUGUCACAGACAAUGGUUCGAACUUUGUGAAGGCCUUUAAAGUGUACCAGCCCGUUCAGGGUGAUGACUCUGGGGGGGAGGAUGAAGAUGAUGUGACUUUUGUCGACCUUCAUGAUGCCUUACAGUUACAAGACAUGAAUGUGGAUGAGGAUGUGGAAGAGGAUGUUGUGACUCUGCCACCACACCACAGAUGUGCAUCACACACAGCAAACCUUAUAUCAUGCUCUGAUGUGGACAAGUGGCUACUCUCAAGGCCAGACAUAAAAUCUGUGUACAGAAGUGCUACCUCAAAAUGUGCAGCUUUGUGGAAUAAGGCUAGCCGUUCCACAAUUGCUGCAGAGACCGUGGAUGAAGUCCUUGAAAGGAAGCUCCUUGUCCCAUGUACAACCAGAUGGAACUCCUUUCAUGAUGCCGUUGCUCGUGUCUGUGAAUUCCCGCUCGCCGAGCUGAACACCAUCUCCUACAAUUUUGGGUUGAAGGCCAUCACAGAUCGGGAGUACCAGUUCCUCAGAGAAUACUGCACAGUGUUGAAGCCACUAACAGUAGCCCUCGACAUUCUUCAGGGUGAAGACAACUGUUUCUAUGGCACACUCCUUCCAACACUGGAGACAUUGAUCUCCAAGACCCUGGACUUGAAGAGUGGCCUGCAAAUCCUUGGUGACCUUCCAGAGGCUGUUGUCAUGGCGAUCAAAACCAGAUUUGCAGAGGUGCUGGAAAGUGAGACUGCCGUCUUGGCUGCCGUGACACUGCCCAGGUUUAAACUACGUUGGCUGCGAACACAGGAAAGGAAGGACAAAGCCAAGGCAGGUUUGCUGGCAGAGUGCAGGAAAAGUGCCCAAGAUGAAGACCAGCUGACAGACUCUAACAACGUCUGCUGCAGCUUCGUUCUCGUCGUCAGAAGAUGAGGAAGACCAGUCAGCGCCAAUGAUGUCAACACCAUUGAAGAAUCCUCCCUCUGGCAGAGCACAGUUUUCACCAGGCCUCGAUACCAAUGGUGAAACCGACGAAAGCUAUCGGCCUGAAUCAACCCUCACCCCCACAUCGGCGUCGUCAUCAGAGGAUGAAGGUGUUAAGGAAUGGCGUGAAAAGAAGAUUAUUGUCAAUGAAUCCAGCGUAACUAUUCAAAUUUGCCAGAUGUGUGGGAAACCGAUUUCAUCUAAGACCAUCUUUGAUUCUGGCGCACAGAGGCACAGAGGUGAAAUGGAUGUGUCUUGGGGGCCAUUCUGGGACCUGGACAUCUUCACCUGACGUAAGAGGAAUGCCAGAGGUUAAUCUCCUUUCAGCUGCAGCUGUUCUGUUCAGGGGCGGCACAUACACGGAACUCUCAGACUGGUGCCAAACCAUGGGUCUCCAAAUGAUUGGAACAACUACGUUUUAUAACAUUCAGAAGGCGUACUUGCACCCUGCUAUUGAGAACGUGUAUUGGGAGAAAAGAACAGAACUCUUGGCAAGAGUUCAUUUGGAACAGGAAGAUGGGAAGAGGCCACAUUUGGCAGGUGAUGGCCGAUGUGACUCGCCAGGCUUCAAUGCAAAAUACUGCCACUACACCUUUAUGUUGGACGACACAAAGGAGAUACUCCACACAGAACUGGUGCAGUGUAGAGAGACCACCAGCUCUGGAACCAUGGAGCCACUGGGUUUUACGAGAGGAAUGACUGAGCUUCUGGACUUGGGCCUUGACGUGGAGGUGAUGGCCACGGACCGCUCCACAUCAAUACAAAAAAUAAUUCGGGAACAAUAUCCUAGUGUCCAGCACGAAUUUGACAUCUGGCACACAGGAAAAGGCUAUUGAUGAUGGGAGAGUCGGACCACAGCGCAAAGCCUUCUCCAACACAUCCCAAAGAUUCUCAGGACUAUGUGGUAGCCAUGUAUGAAAAGGAUGGCAUGCUCCCUGAACCACUCUUUCAUGAGCCAGAUGAAUCUUGGAGUCAUCGUCUUGAAGUAUUUCCAUGCCAUCAGGGAAGAAAGAAAUCCAUUGAUGGAAUUCAGUUCAUUCAGUAGCUAGCUAGCUAUCUAUCUAUCUAUCUAU